UGCUCACUUCAGCAGCAGAAUGCUAAAAUUGGAACGACACAGAGAAGAUGAGCAGGGCCCCUACACCGAAUAGGAUGGGAAAUGGAGACUUUCCUA
rnacentral:snRNA from 3 species